GGGUUGUGAGGUUAAGCGACUAAGCGUACACGGUGGAUGCCCUGGCAGUCAGAGGCGAUGAAGGACGUGCUAAUCUGCGAUAAGCGUCGGUAAGGUGAUAUGAACCGUUAUAACCGGCGAUUUCCGAAUGGGGAAACCCAGUGUGAUUCGUCACACUAUCAUUAACUGAAUCCAUAGGUUAAUGAGGCGAACCGGGGGAACUGAAACAUCUAAGUACCCCGAGGAAAAGAAAUCAACCGAGAUUCCCCCAGUAGCGGCGAGCGAACGGGGAGCAGCCCAGAGCCUGAAUCAGUGUGUGUGUUAGUGGAAGCGUCUGGAAAGGCGUGCGAUACAGGGUGACAGCCCCGUACACAAAAAUGCACAUGCUGUGAGCUCGAUGAGUAGGGCGGGACACGUGGUAUCCUGUCUGAAUAUGGGGGGACCAUCCUCCAAGGCUAAAUACUCCUGACUGACCGAUAGUGAACCAGUACCGUGAGGGAAAGGCGAAAAGAACCCCGGCGAGGGGAGUGAAAAAGAACCUGAAACCGUGUACGUACAAGCAGUGGGAGCACAGAGCAAUCUGUGUGACUGCGUACCUUUUGUAUAAUGGGUCAGCGACUUAUAUUCUGUAGCAAGGUUAACCGAAUAGGGGAGCCGAAGGGAAACCGAGUCUUAACUGGGCGUUAAGUUGCAGGGUAUAGACCCGAAACCCGGUGAUCUAGCCAUGGGCAGGUUGAAGGUUGGGUAACACUAACUGGAGGACCGAACCGACUAAUGUUGAAAAAUUAGCGGAUGACUUGUGGCUGGGGGUGAAAGGCCAAUCAAACCGGGAGAUAGCUGGUUCUCCCCGAAAGCUAUUUAGGUAGCGCCUCGUGAAUUCAUCUCCGGGGGUAGAGCACUGUUUCGGCAAGGGGGUCAUCCCGACUUACCAACCCGAUGCAAACUGCGAAUACCGGAGAAUGUUAUCACGGGAGACACACGGCGGGUGCUAACGUCCGUCGUGAAGAGGGAAACAACCCAGACCGCCAGCUAAGGUCCCAAAGUCAUGGUUAAGUGGGAAACGAUGUGGGAAGGCCCAGACAGCCAGGAUGUUGGCUUAGAAGCAGCCAUCAUUUAAAGAAAGCGUAAUAGCUCACUGGUCGAGUCGGCCUGCGCGGAAGAUGUAACGGGGCUAAACCAUGCACCGAAGCUGCGGCAGCGACGCUUAUGCGUUGUUGGGUAGGGGAGCGUUCUGUAAGCCUGCGAAGGUGUGCUGUGAGGCAUGCUGGAGGUAUCAGAAGUGCGAAUGCUGACAUAAGUAACGAUAAAGCGGGUGAAAAGCCCGCUCGCCGGAAGACCAAGGGUUCCUGUCCAACGUUAAUCGGGGCAGGGUGAGUCGACCCCUAAGGCGAGGCCGAAAGGCGUAGUCGAUGGGAAACAGGUUAAUAUUCCUGUACUUGGUGUUACUGCGAAGGGGGGACGGAGAAGGCUAUGUUGGCCGGGCGACGGUUGUCCCGGUUUAAGCGUGUAGGCUGGUUUUCCAGGCAAAUCCGGAAAACUAAGGCUGAGGCGUGAUGACGAGGCACUACGGUGCUGAAGCAACAAAUGCCCUGCUUCCAGGAAAAGCCUCUAAGCAUCAGGUAACAUCAAAUCGUACCCCAAACCGACACAGGUGGUCAGGUAGAGAAUACCAAGGCGCUUGAGAGAACUCGGGUGAAGGAACUAGGCAAAAUGGUGCCGUAACUUCGGGAGAAGGCACGCUGAUAUGUAGGUGAAGCGACUUGCUCGUGGAGCUGAAAUCAGUCGAAGAUACCAGCUGGCUGCAACUGUUUAUUAAAAACACAGCACUGUGCAAACACGAAAGUGGACGUAUACGGUGUGACGCCUGCCCGGUGCCGGAAGGUUAAUUGAUGGGGUUAGCGCAAGCGAAGCUCUUGAUCGAAGCCCCGGUAAACGGCGGCCGUAACUAUAACGGUCCUAAGGUAGCGAAAUUCCUUGUCGGGUAAGUUCCGACCUGCACGAAUGGCGUAAUGAUGGCCAGGCUGUCUCCACCCGAGACUCAGUGAAAUUGAACUCGCUGUGAAGAUGCAGUGUACCCGCGGCAAGACGGAAAGACCCCGUGAACCUUUACUAUAGCUUGACACUGAACAUUGAGCCUUGAUGUGUAGGAUAGGUGGGAGGCUUUGAAGUGUGGACGCCAGUCUGCAUGGAGCCGACCUUGAAAUACCACCCUUUAAUGUUUGAUGUUCUAACGUUGACCCGUGAUCCGGGUUGCGGACAGUGUCUGGUGGGUAGUUUGACUGGGGCGGUCUCCUCCUAAAGAGUAACGGAGGAGCACGAAGGUUGGCUAAUCCUGGUCGGACAUCAGGAGGUUAGUGCAAUGGCAUAAGCCAGCUUGACUGCGAGCGUGACGGCGCGAGCAGGUGCGAAAGCAGGUCAUAGUGAUCCGGUGGUUCUGAAUGGAAGGGCCAUCGCUCAACGGAUAAAAGGUACUCCGGGGAUAACAGGCUGAUACCGCCCAAGAGUUCAUAUCGACGGCGGUGUUUGGCACCUCGAUGUCGGCUCAUCACAUCCUGGGGCUGAAGUAGGUCCCAAGGGUAUGGCUGUUCGCCAUUUAAAGUGGUACGCGAGCUGGGUUUAGAACGUCGUGAGACAGUUCGGUCCCUAUCUGCCGUGGGCGCUGGAGAACUGAGGGGGGCUGCUCCUAGUACGAGAGGACCGGAGUGGACGCAUCACUGGUGUUCGGGUUGUCAUGCCAAUGGCACUGCCCGGUAGCUAAAUGCGGAAGAGAUAAGUGCUGAAAGCAUCUAAGCACGAAACUUGCCCCGAGAUGAGUUCUCCCUGACUCCUUGAGAGUCCUGAAGGAACGUUGAAGACGACGACGUUGAUAGGCCGGGUGUGUAAGCGCAGCGAUGCGUUGAGCUAACCGGUACUAAUGAACCGUGAGGCUUAACCUUACAACGCCGAAGCUGUU
rnacentral:rRNA from 1 species